AACCUUAUGGACCUGCGGGCGUAUACCUGCGGAAGGAUCAUUACCGAGUUUACAACUCCCAAACCCCUGUGAACAUACCUAUACGUUGCCUCGGCGGAUCAGCCCGCGCCCCGUAAAAAGGGACGGCCCGCCCGAGGACCCCUAAACUCUGUUUUUAGUGGAACUUCUGAGUAAAACAAACAAAUAAAUCAAAACUUUCAACAAUGGAUCU
rnacentral:misc_RNA from 1 species